rnacentral:ncRNA from 1 species
CAAAAAACGAUGACGAGAAGAGUAAGCUGCGCAGGCUUUUUCAGAGAGUUCCCGGUCGGUGGAAGGGAGCAAAGCGGGCAUAGCUGAACAUGGCCUCUGAGUUGCGUGCGCGAGCCCUUGGCAAGCGCAUGACGGGCGCACCCGUUACAGUGCCGCGCUGUAACCCGUUUCAUCCGCGGGCGCAGCGGCUGAGGCUUUUUCCGUGAGGAAAGAGCGAAACAAGGUGGUACCGCGAGCAUUUCUGCCCGUCCUUGGA